CCUACGGGAGGCAGCAGUGGGGAAUUUUGGACAAUGGGCGAAAGCCUGAUCCAGCCAUGCCGCGUGCAGGAUGAAGGCCUUCGGGUUGUAAACUGCUUUUGUACGGAACGAAAAGACUCUGGUUAAUACCUGGGGUCCAUGACGGUACCGUAAGGAUAAGCACCGGCUAACUACGUGCCAGCAGCCGCGGUAAUACGUAGGGUGCGAGCGUUAAUCGGAAUUACUGGGCGUAAAGCGUGCGCAGGCGGUUAUAUAAGACAGAUGUGAAAUCCCCGGGCUCAACCUGGGAACUGCAUUUGUGACUGUAUAGCUAGAGUACGGCAGAGGGGGAUGGAAUUCCGCGUGUAGCAGUGAAAUGCGUAGAUAUGCGGAGGAACACCGAUGGCGAAGGCAAUCCCCUGGGCCUGUACUGACGCUCAUGCACGAAAGCGUGGGGAGCAAACAGGAUUAGAUACCCUGGUAGUCCACGCCCUAAACGAUGUCAACUGGUUGUUGGGUCUUCACUGACUCAGUAACGAAGCUAACGCGUGAAGUUGACCGCCUGGGGAGUACGGCCGCAAGGUUGAAACGUCAAAAUGAAUUGACGG
rnacentral:rRNA from 1 species